CCAACGGCCGUCCGGCGGGGGCGGGGUCUGUCAUGGCGGCCUCGAGUCAAUUAUAGGAACCCUGAGUCUUGAUACUCUCAAAUCAUGCCGGAAUUGCAAGCAUAGUUUGGCUGGUGAUGCAAGAGUUCAGCAAAAAUCAACGAAAGCAUUAGUUCUUUUUUAAAGAAAACAUCCUGCUCACAAAACUCUGACGCAAAGACAAUUCCAGGGAACCCAAACUGAGGCCUGCAAGCCCUGCACUUGCCCAGCCUCGAGACCGAAGAAAGAGCCUGGAGUCAGCGACAUAGACAUCAAUGGUUUAAUGGAUGGAGGAGCUUACAUGUCCUGGAGCAACACUCCACGGUGUGCGGCAGACAGCGGGCAGGACAUGGUAGUAGUCUUUGCUCCCAGGGCUCGGGGAGGUUACCGGUUAUAGGGGGAAUUGACAUCAGGUUGGCUCAUCGGUUACCAGGGAAACAAGCAGAGGGGCACGUCCCUCACCGUCCCUUUGAUAAGCUAUCACGGUGGAGAUGCUCUGAUCUAAAGAUUAGAACAAUCACUAGCUGGGGCCGGGGGCAAGUAUGUAUUAGGAGGGAAGGUUGGUGAUGUGAGUAGUGUGUAGAUGAAGGAGGACUGGUCGGGCAGGGGUUGUACAGCGAGCAAGAGAAGAGCCAUCUUGGGUGGCUUGAUCAUACAAUUAUUUAUGUAUUUCUAUAUAUGCUGUAUACUAGCAAUGAAAAUAUUGGAAAAUCAAAUUUUAAAAUAACAUUUAAAUAGUAUAAAAAUACUUAUGAAUAAUUUUAACAAAAUAUGUGCAAGCCCUGUUCACUUAAACCUACAAAACUUUGUUGAGAGAAAUAAAUGAAGGCCUAUAUAAAUGGGGUCAUAUAUGCCAUGUUCAUGGCUUAGAAGA